AUUGAACGCUGGCGGCAGGCCUAACACAUGCAAGUCGAGCGGAUGAAGGGAGCUUGCUCCUGGAUUCAGCGGCGGACGGGUGAGUAAUGCCUAGGAAUCUGCCUGGUAGUGGGGGAUAACGUCCGGAAACGGGCGCUAAUACCGCAUACGUCCUGAGGGAGAAAGUGGGGGAUCUUCGGACCUCACGCUAUCAGAUGAGCCUAGGUCGGAUUAGCUAGUUGGUGGGGUAAAGGCCUACCAAGGCGACGAUCCGUAACUGGUCUGAGAGGAUGAUCAGUCACACUGGAACUGGGACACGGUCCCGACUCCUACGGGAGGCAGCCGUGGGGAAUAUUGGACAAUGGGCGAAAGCCUGAUCCAGCCAUGCCGCGUGUGUGAAGAAGGUCUUCGGAUUGUAAAGCACUUUAAGUUGGGAGGAAGGGCAGUAAGUUAAUACCUUGCUGUUUUGACGUUACCAACAGAAUAAGCACCGGCUAACUUCGUG
rnacentral:rRNA from 1 species